rnacentral:rRNA from 1 species
UGGGGAAUUUUGGACAAUGGGCGAAAGCCUGAUCCAGCAAUGCCGCGUGUGUGAAGAAGGCCUUCGGGUUGUAAAGCACUUUUGUCCGGAAAGAAAUCCUUGGCUCUAAUACAGUCGGGGGAUGACGGUACCGGAAGAAUAAGCACCGGCUAACUACGUGCCAGCAGCCGCGGUAAUACGUAGGGUGCAAGCGUUAAUCGGAAUUACUGGGCGUAAAGCGUGCGCAGGCGGUUUGCUAAGACCGAUGUGAAAUCCCCGGGCUCAACCUGGGAACUGCAUUGGUGACUGGCAGGCUAGAGUAUGGCAGAGGGGGGUAGAAUUCCACGUGUAGCAGUGAAAUGCGUAGAGAUGUGGAGGAAUACCGAUGGCGAAGGCAGCCCCCUGGGCCAAUACUGACGCUCAUGCACGAAAGCGUGGGGAGCAAACAGGAUUAGAUACCCUGGUAGUCCACGCCCUAAAACGAUGUCAACUAGUUGUUGGGGACUUCAUUUUCCUUAGUAACGUAGCUAACGCGUGAAGUUGACCGCCUGGGGAGUACGGUCGCAAGAUUAAAACUUAAAUGAAUUGACGGGGUCAUAGCUGUUUCCU